AAGUAGUAACAAGGUCUCCGUAGGUGAACCUGCGGAGGGAUCAUUAACACGUGUAAAAACGUAUUAUAUACCCAUUUACCAACCAAUACCGUGAACUAUGUUUGAAAACAACAUUUUUUAUUUUUCUUUGCUAUUACCGUCACUGGUUAUAGUGAAGAAUGCAACCCUUUUCCAAUCUAAAUUUCUUUUUUUCUUUGUUAUUUUAACAGUAACAACAUAAAAAAUAAAAAUAAAAGCACAACUCUUAGCAACGGAUAUCUUGGUUCUC
rnacentral:misc_RNA from 1 species